CCCCUGAUAGCUCAGUUGGUAGAACACCAGAGUCUUAAUCUCAAGGUCAUAAGUUCAAGCCCCACACUGGGCA